rnacentral:rRNA from 1 species
GGGUUGUGAGGUUAAGCGACUAAGCGUACACGGUGGAUGCCCUGGCAGUCAGAGGCGAUGAAGGACGUGCUAAUCUGCGAUAAGCGUCGGUAAGGUGAUAUGAACCGUUAUAACCGGCGAUUUCCGAAUGGGGAAACCCAGUGUGUUUCGACACACUAUCAUUAACUGAAUCCAUAGGUUAAUGAGGCGAACCGGGGGAACUGAAACAUCUAAGUACCCCGAGGAAAAGAAAUCAACCGAGAUUCCCCCAGUAGCGGCGAGCGAACGGGGAGCAGCCCAGAGCCUGAAUCAGUGUGUGUGUUAGUGGAAGCGUCUGGAAAGGCGCGCGAUACAGGGUGACAGCCCCGUACACAAAAAUGCACAURYUGUGAGCUCGAUGAGUAGGGCGGGACACGUGGUAUCCUGUCUGAAUAUGGGGGGACCAUCCUCCAAGGCUAAAUACUCCUGACUGACCGAUAGUGAACCAGUACCGUGAGGGAAAGGCGAAAAGAACCCCGGCGAGGGGAGUGAAAAAGAACCUGAAACCGUGUACGUACAAGCAGUGGGAGCACGCUUAGGCGUGUGACUGCGUA